rnacentral:rRNA from 1 species
GGCGAACGCUGGCGGCGUGCUUAACACAUGCAAGUCGAACGGAAAGGCCCUGCUUGCAGGGUACGCGAGUGGCGAACGGGUGAGUAACACGUGGGUGAUCUGCCCUGCACUUCGGGAUAAGCCUGGGGAACUGGGGCUAAUACCGGAUAGGGGCCAUUUUUAUUGUGAGGGUUGGAAAGAUUUUUCGGUGUGGGGGGAGCUCGCGGGCUAUUAGCUUGUUGGUGGGGGUAGUGCCUACCAAGGCGGGGGCGGGUGGGCGGCCUGAGGGGGUGGACGGCCACAUUGGGGCUUGGAUACGGCCCAGACUCCUACGGGAGGCCGCAGGUGGGAAUUUUGCACAAUGGGCGGGAGCCUGAUGCAGCGACGCCGCGUGGGGGAUGACGGCCUUCGGGUUUGAAACCCCUUUCGCUCUGUACGAAGCUUUUUGUGACGGUACCUAGUAAAGAAGCACCGGCUAACUACGUG